rnacentral:rRNA from 1 species
CCUACGGGUGGCAGCAGUGGGGAAUAUUGCACAAUGGGGGAAACCCUGAUGCAGCGACGCCGCGUGAGUGAAGAAGGCUUUCGGUAUGUAACGCUCUAUCAGCAGGGAAGAAAUAGCGACCUUUGGGUCGCCAGACGGUAGAUGACAAAGAAGCCCCGGCUAACUACGUGCCAGCUGCCGCGGUAAUACGUAGGGGGCAAGCGUUAUCCGGAUUUACUGGGUGUAAAGGGAGCGUAGACGGCAGCAUAAGUCUGAAGUGAAAUGCCGGGGCUUAACCCCGGAACUGCUUGGGAAACUGUGCAGCUAGAGUGCAGGAGAGGUAAGUGGAAUUCCUGGUGUAGCGGUGAAAUGCGUAGAUAUUAGGAGGAACACCCGUGGCGAAGGCGGCUUACUGGACUGUAACUGACGUUGAGGCUCGAAAGCGUGGGGAGCAAACAGGAUUAGAUACCCUUGUAGUC